rnacentral:lncRNA from 1 species
CGGGCGAAGACGCCAAGGACGGCAUUUGCCUGCCCGCGAGCUCUGGGAUGUGCCCAGACCGCGGCUCCGGCCGUCCCGCGCGCGCUCCAGGGGUCCCGGGACCCCACAGGGCCUGGUACAGGUCGCGUAGCCGGGAGGCGGCGCACGGCCCUCGACCUCUGCCCUCCGAAGAAGGCUCAGACUUUUGGCACUGCUGGAAAUAAUGGCCUCCGCGAGGAGGGCGCUCGGGGAGCGGCUGCCGGUCCCGUGCCCCGCGGUCCGGGUGCCGCCCUAGGCCAGACCUGCGCUGGCAGCCCCGAUCACCUCACCCGCGCCGAAAGUGAAGGGGGAAGGGCUCCCCUGACCCCCGCCCAUACGCCCCAGGCCGGAGGGAAUGAAGAGUCGCCCGCGGGGCCUGGCUUGCCGACCAUGGCUCCCCACCGCCAAAGCUACAGACUUGAGAUGGUGAUUCUGCCUCGAUUUCCCUGGGCACAUGAUGGAUCCAAGCGUAACCAGCUCACUUACCUGUGGACAGAGAAAAGAGAAACCUUGUUUUAUUUGAGGGUAAAGAGAAUAAAAAAUACAGAGCUAGGGGAAGAACGUAGCAUUCAGAAACAUUAGAGGAAAUGAGAACUCUUCUUCACCAGGGCCCAGAAAAAAAUUUUGGAAACCCGUUAGCAGUCCUAAGGUUUCCUUCUGUAAAUGGAAGGAAGAGGUGGGGACUGAGAUGAAAAUUCAACAGAAUGAAAUGAGAAACAGACAGGGUAAGGAAAAUUAGCAGUACUCCCCAACAGUAGGAACAAAAUUAAAGUACACAUUGGAGAUAGUAAAGAGCAAUAUUCAUACAGCAAAAAAAAAAUUUGAAUUUGAUGUCAAGAGCAAAGCUGAUGCUAAGAAAUUGAAUGGAAUGUGAAGGACAAAGACAAACAAAGAGAGAGAAGAUGAUAGCUGUGGAAAAAGAAGAAUGGAGAAUCUGGAGAACCGACAUAUGGAUAAUUUGUGUUCCUAAAAAAGGAACGAAGGCAAAUGGAAGAGAAGUAAUGAAAGUAACUGAAACAGAAAAGUUUUCCCUUUUUUUUUUUUU